GCGAUCACUUCGCGACACGCGCACGGUCGCCGCCAGCCGUGACGGCCGGUGCCGGGGAAGCAGCGUGGGCGGGGGGCGGUGGCCGCCCCGGGGCGCGGAGCACGGGGCGCCCGCGCGGUCCGAUGCGGCGCGGCGGGCAGGAUGCACCAGAAGCUGUUGCGGAGCGCGCACUACAUCGAGCUGGGGAGCUACCACUACUGGCCCGUGCUGGUGCCCCGCGGCAUCCGCCUCUACACCUACGAGCAGAUUCCCGUCUUCCUGAAGGACAACCCCUACAUCACCGACGGUUACCGGGCCUACCUGCCCUCUCGCCUCUGCCUCAAAAGGUGAGGGCAGGACCCGCUGCUCCGCGCCGGGCCCGUCAGGCUGAGCCCCGGCUCACCGCCCCGCCCCUGCGCCUUAUGUCUCCUCGCAGCCUCUUCAUCCUCUCCAACGAGACCGUCAACAUCUGGAGCCACCUGCUGGGCUUCGUCCUCUUCUUCACGCUGGGCAUCUACGACCUGACGGCUGUGCUGCCGGCCGCCGGCGCCUCCCGAGAGGACUUUGUAAUCUGCUCUGUGUGCCUCUUCUGCUUCCAGGUCUGUAUGCUUUGCUCAGUGGGAUAUCAUCUUUUCUGUUGUCACCGCUCAGAGAAGACCAGUCGACGAUGGAUGGCAUUAGAUUAUGCAGGAAUUUCCAUUGGUAUCCUGGGCUGCUAUGUGUCAGGCGUGUUUUAUGCAUUUUAUUGUAAUAACUACUGGCGUCAGGUAUAUUUGAUCACUGUGCUGGCAAUGAUCUUGGCAGUAUUUUUCGCUCAGAUUCAUCCCAGUUACCUCACACAGCAGUGGCAAAGAUUGCGUUCCAUCAUCUUUUGCUCAGUGUCUGGAUAUGGAAUUAUUCCCACUAUCCACUGGAUUUGGCUCAACGGUGGCAUGGGUGCAUCUAUUGUACAGGAGUUUGCUCCGCGAGUAGUUGUCAUGUACUUCAUCGCUGCUGUAGCUUUUCUCUUCUAUAUUUCCAAAGUUCCAGAAAGAUACUUCCCAGGGCAGCUGAACUACCUCGGCUCUAGUCACCAAGUAUGGCACAUCCUUGCGGUUGUGAUGCUGUAUUGGUGGCAUCAAUCCACAGUGUACAUCAUGCAAUACAGGCACAGCAAACCCUGUCCUGAGUACAGCACAGACUUGUGAGUGAAGAGGCACUCUGAUGAGAUUUCUGACUUUGAGGCCGUGGACCUUGCCUAAUAUGCUGAGCUAUGAAGUUGAGCACUGAGGCAGUUCCUUUCUGACUUCUGGACUGUUACCCUGGUUGCAGGGACAGCAUAUUACCAGGAGGUUUGAAAAAAACAGCAGCAUUGCACAGGAUCCAGGAUGCACUUCCUUCUCAGUCAAGUACAAAACAGGUCUUCCUGGAGUAGGACAGUGAAAAGAAAACAAACAAACUAAAACCCAACAAUAUAAAUUCACCAUCAUUACAUCAUGCAAGCUGGCUGUGCCUUCUUGAACUUGAACGAACUGUACAACUCAGGUCCCUGUCAAUUCAACCAGAUAAAUUACUCCACUAAUUAAAACCUCUAUGAAGCAGCUCAGAGAGGUGGAGGGGUGGAACCCAUUGGAAGCUUUUAUGGUUUGGAAGGAAAUGGAGCUGCUCCGAAGGGAUCUAACUCUAGUGCCUGUUGCUGCUGGCUCUGCGUGCUCUGCACAACCAGUUCUGUGAAGGGUACUGCACCAAAGUCAUCUAUUUUCAGCCCGUCACCACUGUGAACAGCUGCAUGCAAGGAGCUCUGCCUAGGUCUACCAGCCACUACUGCAGUGCCAUGAUCUCCACGGUUGUCACUGGAACCUUGAUGCUGAGGAUGCCGCAACAAGUCUGGUGGGUGGAAGGGUUUGGCUCCAAAAGGAUCCAGCAGACUCUCAUCUGUCUGCAGAGGGUUGCUCCGAUCUUUGCUGUCAGUCAAUGAAAUGCUUAUGUUCUCUUUGGAGUCCGAGAUAGUCAGGAACUCAUUGCUGCUCUGCGAGUCCCUGCGGCCUGCUUUCUUGUGCCUGCGGGCUCUCUCAGGGGUGCGGUAGCUUGGCUUCAAUGCCUUCUUCGUGGUGGUUGGGGUGCCAUGGUGGCGCUUCCCAUUGUUCUUUGAGACCUCCUGUUUCAUGCGCCUUUGGCGGGAAGAAAGUUUCUGCAGGUUACGCUGCUGCUUCACCUUCUGCUGCUGCUGACUCCCUGUGACCUCUUCAAAAGGAACCAGCCCAAAUAGGUCCUCUUUACUCCCACCAGUCUUGGGGAGAAGGGAAGGCUGAAAUGGGGUGCAGCCGAAAAUAUCGACACUCUGUGGAGAGGUGGGGGAGAGCAGAGUCUUAGUUUCUGCCACCUGGCCAUCUUGCUGAGACACCUUUUUGCUGAAGGGGGCUUUUGUGAAAACAUCAAAGUCAUCCUGCUCUUCGUUUAGGCUGGGAAAAGCAGUCUGAGCAAAGACAUCUUUGUCCCUCUUCUCUCUUGCCUGAGGCUGAAGAGUGAAAAAGGGCACUGCCCCAAACACAUCAAAUUCUUGGCCAGGGCUCACCUUGAUGACAGUACUUGGCACCUCAGACAAGGGUGUGUGCAUUAAACUGGGUUCUUUGAUUUCACCACUGGCAAUGCCACAGCUGAACCUACUGCUCGGAAGACCUUCCACAGAUUUUUGCUUGGUACGACCAGAAUCAGAGUCAGAACUUUGCUUCUCUUCCUCCUCUUCCUCAGAGUCCAUGAGGAGAGGCCGGUGGCCUAAAUUCUCUGGUUCUGUAUCAUUGUCAUCAUUGAAGUCUCCAUUCGCUCCUUGCAAGACUUCUUCAUCCUCCUGUUCUUCUUCCUCACUGCUCUUGGGAGAAGGAGGAUCAGAUUCAAAAUCACUCUCUGAUUCAUUGCCACUUUUUGUCACAUCUCCCUCUGUAGUUUUACUCCCACGGCUCAGUUUUCCAACCUUGUUUGGGCUCCCUAAAUUAUUUCCUUGAUUGCUGGCUGAGUUAUCCACUUGUUUUCCAGGGGAACCUGCAGGUCCGAAAAAAAUGCAAAACAAAACUUGAAAUAUACUCUUAAAAUCAACACUUACUCCACAUAUGCCAUAGCCACACAUACAAAGAGUUAAUGCAAACAUAUAUUCUGUAAUUACUGAAGAAAAUAAGCUAAAAAUCAGAUCUAAUAUUUCAAACAGUAGUCAUAAAAUUUACUAAUAGUCAGACUUUCCAGCUUUACUCCUCAAGCUCAAGAUAUCUAGAAAUACAACACUAGUACUUUUGUGGCAUGAAGAAGGGACCAAUGGACACAGAUGGUCUCUAGAGCCAGCUUUUCAAAUGCACUCAUUACGCAGCCGCACCGCUCCAAAGAAACAGGAGCCAGCAUGCUUGAAAGAUUUUUAAUAUAUUAUUAUUUUUUAAAGCAAGCUACUUAUUUGUUAAAGUGCUUAGGUUUUGAUAAUCUGCUUUGACAACCUUAAUGCUCUAGUAAUAAAAACAAUCAGCAUAGGCAAAAGUAUUCAGCAAUUUCAAAUAAUUCACUUCAGAUCUCGGGUACCACUUUACAGCAACAACAGAUCUCAGAGUGCUCUGCUCUACUGACCUACCUACUAGUGCAUGUGCAGUUUCUGCAUUCCAGAAACUAAAUGCACAUUGUUGACAAUCACAUCCCUUAAGGCUGCCUUUUGAAGAGGUUCUCCAAAUCUAACCCACUGUAUGAAGGGUUUCACCACACAGUUGAAUACAUGUGGCAAUUUUUACACCUUGUUAAGCCUCCAGUCUUUCCCAAACUUUCAUAGCACUAGCCAAUCCUACAAAACAUCUCCAAGAUAAUUAGGUUCCUCUAAAGUCCAUGAAAAUCAGGAACUAGGCAAAAGAGAAAGUUUGUUCUCAUCCAAGCUGGAGGAAAGAUUCCAUGACAUCCCAAUGUUGCAGAAUAAAUUUAAUCAAACUAACUUCUUAACCAUAUUGUAUUCUUUCAGCAGUAUUUUGCUUGAAUAACCUAUUGCAGCAUAAGUAGCGAAAAUUAGCCUGAGUAGCCAGGCUCACUGGAAUUCCAGGCUGCAUCUCGUGAAUUUUAACCUGUUUGCUCGGUGAUGGAGGGACCUUGAAGACUGGUACAAGGAGCUAGAGAGGAAACUGUCAGCAGAGGCUGAAAACCACCUUAAUAAGAACAGUAAAAAAGCUGCCUGGAGGACAGAAAAGAGGAUCCACUAAGAAACAAAGAAGCUCCUAGAUGCAGAAUUACCAUUGGACCGAAAGGCAUGUGGGCAGCACAUGAAGGAUGCAUGAAGAGUGGAUGCACAGACUAGGAGGGUUUAAAAGCCCAAGACUCCUUUGUCACAGGGUCCUCCCCCUUGAGAGGCACCCAGUACAGACUGUUUCUUUGCUGUACCUUCCCAUUCAUUAUUUUAGCUUUUAAUUAAAUUACUUUUUUCUAAGCACAGAUGUCUGAAUCUACGCUACAGGAAACCUAGGGUCAAGAACAUUUCUUUAACAAUGAUUUCUGUCCUGCCCUCAAGGGCAACAACUCCUUCCAUGAGCUGAACAAGCAUGACUUGGAGCCUGCAUACAGCCACAACAGAGCUAUGUGGUUUGGGGGUUUUUGUCUCUCUAGUGUGUUUUAAGGUAUACAAAGGGAAAGGGACCAGACAACAAUCCCCACGAGAAGACAGCAAGGUGAUUACUAACAUAAUUAUAUGUAAAUGGAGAUGCAGGAAGAAAGAUGUUUUCCAGCAUGUGUCCUAGUCUGAAAUACUCCAUCCCUCCCACCCAUCAGUGCCAAAACUCUAAUUUGGAUUGAAAAAAUCCCACCAAGAAUUAAGCUUGAUGGCCACUGCCAUUUGUGCAUUUUGAAAAGGUCUCUCAAAGUGGUUCCCCUUGGUUUCAGCAGAAAUAGCCUCUCUCCAUCAGGGCCUUCCCCACCAAUAAUGCCAACAAAGCACACACUGUGAUAGCACAAUAUCUUUUUUUAAAUUAAUAUUUACCUUGGUAUUUCAAACCUGCACUUAGAGAAUACCUUUUCCCCUAGUGACACUGAAGCUCCACAUUCAGGCCCUUCUAACUUCUAGUGCAGCAAUUCAGGCCACCCCCCCAAAAGCUCUUGUUUUAACUCAAGCUUGAGAGAAUUGUUUCUUGUUUCUUUCUAAAUACAAUCUGUGAGUUUACUCUCUCUACAGACACCUUGAUCCGUGAUAUUUACUAUCUGACAACUAGACUAAGAGAACAACUCACUGAUGACUCUUUCAUGGGGUGUUUGGCUUCGAAAUACAGGAAACAGUGAAAAUUUUACAUCAGUAAAGAAAACAGAUAGCAAGACCCACAGACAAGAUAAGCCUGCACAGCACAAAUUAGUAUGAAAGUCGUCAGACUCAUUGAAACCAAGUUUCUCCCUAUGUUGGAGCCCCGCCACUGCACAGCAAUGUCUUCAGAAGCAUAACUGAUUGUCAGAUUUCUAUUUAAAGAGACUGAGUAGGACAAAAAGCAAAACACUUGGUCUCAGCUUGGGAAAGCAGAUUUGCUCAUGAGAUGUCCUUUUCCCUAGGACACACAUCACAACGCAGCCAUGCUGCUCUAGGAAUGUAUAAUUGAACAUGUAACACUAAUACCAACAAUAAUAACGCACCUCUUCGCAGAGAGUAACUGCCAAAAAUUUGUGUGCAAUACUUAGAAGUGGGCUAUAUUACAGUCACUCCAGACUGAAUAUUAUGCAUGAUGAAGGCAGAUGAAGGCUAGAAUGACAAAACCAACUGCAUUUUUGCUUGUGUCAGCAAGGACUUCAACUGAAAACCAGUUUAUACUUGCUUAACAUUCACCUUGAGUUCCCUUUUACCUGGCUAGGAACAUCCAUGUAUCCCACUUCAAAGCCUCAACUACCGAGAUACUGUGCAACAUAAACAAUACACCAUGAGCAAGGCAUACAAGUUUCUCUGUCAUCUUGAGGACAGACACUAGUUCUCAUGAAAGCAAUUAUUAGAAGCUCUAUUCACAGCACUGCACUAGAUUGCUGACCCUCUCACCUCAUCAAAAUUAACACAUUCCAUUUACAGGUUUGUUAAGCAGUUGCUGGAGUUUAAAUAAACUCAAUGUCAUCACAUCAUUGAAAAAUCUGGGGAUGGAUGUGUGCACCAGUUCUUCUUCUGAAAAAAUAAAUCUUCAGCCAGAAUCCAGAUUGUGACUCUUUUGUUCUUGUAAUAUAUAAAAGAAUUUCUCAGAUAGUUUAUUCUUUCACAAGGAAACUAGCAUGCAACUUGCAGGCUAGGUCAUAUUUUUCUCUUUUUAUGCUUAAGUUUAGACCAGAAUGCUAAGUUCUACAAAGUCAGUUCCUUCCUUUUUUUUUUUUGGUUGGCUGGUUUGUUUUUGUUUGUUUGUGGGUUUUUUGGUGUGUUUUUCUUUUGUUGCUGUUGUUGUGGGGGUUUUUUUAAGAAGGAAUUAAUAGUGGGUUUCUUCAUUCAGUAACCAUUUUGAUCUUUUCCAAUUACACUUAAAAAAAAAAAAAAACCCACAAAAA